GACGAACGCUGGCGGCGUGCUUAACACAUGCAAGUCGAACGGAAAGGCCCUGCUUUUGUGGGGUGCUCGAGUGGCGAACGGGUGAGUAACACGUGAGUAACCUGCCCUUGACUUUGGGAUAACUUCAGAAAACUGGGGCUAAUACCGGAUAGGAGCUCCUGCUGCAUGGUGGGGGUUGGAAAGUUUCGGCGGUUGGGGAUGGACUCGCGGCUUAUCAGCUUGUUGGUGGGGUAGUGGCUUACCAAGGCUUUGACGGGUAGCCGGCCUGAGAGGGUGACCGGCCACAUUGGGACUGAGAUACGGCCCAGACUCCUACGGGAGGCAGCAGUGGGGAAUAUUGCACAAUGGGCGGAAGCCUGAUGCAGCAACGCCGCGUGCGGGAUGACGGCCUUCGGGUUGUAAACCGCUUUCGCCUGUGACGAAGCGUGAGUGACGGUAAUGGGUAAAGAAGCACCGGCUAACUACGUG
rnacentral:rRNA from 1 species